GAGUAAAGCGGCGAAAGGGUGAGUAACACGUGGGUAACCUGCCCCUUGGACCGGGAUAACCCGCGAAAGGUGGGUUAAUACCGGAUAAGACCACACGGACUCAUGUCCGAGCGGUAAAAGAUGGCCUCUGCUUGCAAGCUAUCACCAGAGGAUGGGGCCCGCGGCCUAUUAGCUAGUUGGUAGGGUAACGGCCUACCAAGGCUAUGAUGGGUAGCCGGCCUGAGAGGGUGUACGGCCACACUGGAACUGAGACACGGUCCAGACUCCUACGGGAGGCAGCAGUGGGGAAUUUUUGCGCAAUGGGGGAAACCCUGACGCAGCAACGCCGCGUGAGUGAUGAAGGCCUUCGGGUCGUAAAACUCUUUUGGCGGGGAAGAAAUGUGUCGUGGCCAACAUCCACGGCACUUGACGGUACCCGCAGAAAAAGUCCCGGCUAACUCCGUGCCAGCAGCCGCGGUAA
rnacentral:rRNA from 1 species